rnacentral:tRNA from 1 species
AGAGUUUUAGUUUAUAUAGAAUUUAUCACUUACAAUGAUGGGGUUUAAACUCUU